rnacentral:rRNA from 1 species
GACGAACGCUGGCAGCGUGCUUAACACAUGCAAGUCGAGCGGAAAGGCCCUUUCGGGGGUACUCGAGCGGCGAACGGGUGAGCAACACGUGAGUAAUCUGCCCCAGGCUCUGGGAUAGCCACCGGAAACGGUGAUUAAUACCGGAUAUGACGCUCCUUCGCAUGUUGGGGUGUGGAAAGUUUUUUCGGCUUGGGAUGUGCUCGCGGCCUAUCAGCUUGAUGGUGAGGUAAUGGCUCACCAUGGCUUUGACGGGUAGCCGGCCUGAGAGGGUGACCGGCCACACUGGGACUGAGACACGGCCCAGACUCCUACGGGAGGCAGCAGUGGGGAAUAUUGGACAAUGGGCGGAAGCCUGAUCCAGCAACGCCGCGUGAGGGAUGACGGCCUUCGGGUUGUAAACCUCUUUCAGCACAGACGAAGCGCAAGUGACGGUAUGUGCAGAAGAAGGACCGGCCAACUACGUGCCAGCCGCCGCAGUAACAC